UACGAAGGGGGCUAGCGUUGCUCGGAAUCACUGGGUGUAAAGCGCACGUAGGCGGCUUUUUAAGUCAGGGGUGAAAUCCUGGAGCUCAACUCCAGAACUGCCUUUGAUACUGGGAAGCUUGAGUCCGGGAGAGGUGAGUGGAACUCCGAGUGUAGAGGUGAAAUUCGUAGAUAUUAGGAAGAACACCGGUGGCGAAGGCGGCCCACUGGAUCGGUACUGACGCUGAGGUGCGAAAGCGUGGGGAGCAAACAGG
rnacentral:rRNA from 1 species